GAUAGAUGAAGUGUAAAUGAUUUAGAUACGGUGGUUGUUCGGUCGGUGCCUGGGUUACCCGGGUUUUAGAAUGAGCGGUCGGAGUAAAUUCAGCAGCGUGACAACCGCUUCGAUUACUGGGGAUCCGGGACAGCGGUCACCGUCACCUCCGCGCAAAUCAAUCCCCCACUGGCAAGUGUACUCUGGCCGUGUGGCGUGAACUUGGAAACUACUUCUCCAGUCACCUUGGGCUGCCUUGUGGAGGAAUCCUAUUCUGGACAAGCAACCGUGUACUGGUCUAAGGAUGGACAAAAACUUACUACCGACAUUAAGAUGUACCCUUCUGUAGAAGACUCAGGGAAAUACAAAAAGACUAGCACACUCACAGUGACAAAAUAUGACAGCUAUACAUGCGUGGCUAACGACCGCAGCUCAAAUGAAAACUCUACGGCUUCCUCACCAAAACCUCAAGCUCCCCAGGCACCAAAUGUCAGCAUUUUGACUUCGCCCAAUAUGUCACCACCGAAUUUGGUCUGCGUCGUCUCUGACUUCUAUCCCCAAACUGUGACAAUUUCGUGGAAGAAAGGGAAAACGUCCCUAGAUGCACAAGCCGCCGGCAUUAUCGAGAGAUCGCCGGUAAAGAAACCAUCAACCGAACUGUUCACUGCGAUGAGCCUUCUCCCUGUGACUGCCUACGACUGGGAUAAGGACACGAUCUACACCUGUUCAGUCCAUCACGCUAAAACAGGCACUCAAAAAGAACUGAGCACCAGCAAAAGUAGAGUUGGAUCUACAAGUAUCUUUGUUACACUCCAUCCCCCCAAGGUAAAGGAGCUGUUCCUUAACAACCUGGCUGUGCUGGUGUGUGAGGUGAAUGGCAAAGAGGCAGCCAAUGUGGAGAUUUCCUGGUUUGUGGACAGCCAAAAACAGAGUCAAAAUGUGAAAACCUCAGGUGACAAUAAUCAAAGGACUAGUACACUGACGACUCCGCAAGAGAAUUGGUUCAGUGGAAAGAAGUUUGAGUGCAAAGUCUCCCACUCCUCUAUUCAGCCCAUUAUAAAACAUGCUCAGGUGUUAAUUGACAAAAACCUGAAGAAACCCGUUGUAAACAUCCAGAAGCCAAAUGACAACAGAGUGGGGAACUCGAACACUGUCAACCUAACCUGCGUGGUGUCUGGAUUCUACCCCGAUGAUAUUUACAUCAUGUGGAAAGAAAGUGACAAACAAGGCAGCACAACUUCCGACAGAGAAGACGACCUCACAAGCAAACCCGUGAAACAACCAAACGACGAAUCCUACACCGCCUUCAGUCAGCUGACCGUGAGAAAAGAAGAAUGGAAUGAAAAAAAGUAUACCUGUGCAGUUAAACACGCUUCGCUGGGAAAUAACAGCCAAUCCCCGGAACUUGAUAGUAUAACAAAAGAUGAUGAGGAGAUUCUGGAGUUUCUGGACUUCGGAGACACCAAUCCCAAUGACGGCGAGGGUAACGCAUGGACAACAGCCUUGUGGUUCAUCUUUCUCUUCCUCUUCAACUUCCUGUACAGCGCCAUCCUCACCAUAUCCAAGAAGCAGUAAGACUCCCUGCUCUCUGGAUUCCCCUGGUCCUAGCAUGUUCAGUUUGAAUCAAUUGUACCACCAAAAAAUUCCAAAGAUGUCAUGAAUUCAUAAUAUCAUUGUAACAUUGUGGGUAGGGUUUUCUGUAUCAAAGCCCCAAGAAGAAAUGAAAGGCUUUUCUUAAGAAAAAGUGGAUGGGUUAGAACUUUCCAGUAUUGAUCUUCUGUGAGACAUUUUAAAUGUGUCCUGCUUGCAUGUCAACUGAGUGAAACAAAUGGAAAAUGUAGUGUGAAUAUAUCAAAUGCACCAACAGGAGAAAGAGGCAGCAGACACUGUAGCCGACAUUGAAGGGCAUCACUGAAGUACACCAGAGCAGAUCAGCAAGAGUUUCUCUUGGGCUCUUCAUCGGUAAUUUGGACUUGUGUAAAUUGUAAAUUGUACAGUAAUUGCUGUUUGUCUUAUUUUUCUCUGUCUGACAACUCUCUGCAAUUCUAUAAAAUUCAGAUUGCAGAUGCCAAGGACCUGUACAGAAACAUAACUAAUUGCUAAGAAAGGACACAAAUGAAAAAAACAUGCAUCAUAUCUGCCAAUCAUAUCAGAUUUGGACAGUUUGGCUUCAGACUGAAAGAUCAUAAAACAGCUAUUUUGCACUGCAAUUUCCCUCACGGGAUCAAUAAAGUAUCUAACUUUACCUCCCCAUCAGAAGGAGAGCUUCGUUGGUCAUAAAAAAAAUAACCACUAACUAACUCUUGAUAGUGUAAACUGUGAAAAAAAUUUUAAUCUGGCAAGCGGUAUUAGGGUUAAUUGCAGGAGUUUUGGAGCUGACGCCUCUGCACGAAUUCUACCUGAGUGCAGGAAAUCCAAAUUAGAAACAUUAGUAACUUCUUUUUAAAUAUUCUUACAGCCUCCACUUAAAGUCCUUGAAAAGCAAAGAAAAACUGGAGCUGUUUUUUUAUGUGUACUAACAUAUCUAAUUGUCUAAUACAGUGUUUAGACUGUGUUUUCUGUGAGUGACAGCUGCAUGUCUUGUUUAAACUGUUUCAUUUAAAAAAAAUGUACAUUAAUGUAUCUGUCGUGCAAAAUAUACUUUUUCAAGAUAAAAUACAAA